ensembl:lncRNA
GCCCCUCCCCCAAGCUCGUCCCUCCCGGAUUCCGCCCACAUGGUCGGAGCUUAGCCACCCCCUUAUCCCAGUGCCCCGCGGAUGUAGGGGUGGGGUUUAGGAGCCGAGCGGGAAGGCGGAGGCCGUGCUGUGGGCUCCUGGGGCUGGGGGUCGGCUCGGAAUCAGGAUCUUAUUAAUAAUUCCCCGACCAAGGAACCCACUCCCUCUGCAGAAGAAGCGUGGAGUCUUAACCACUGGACUGCCAGGCAGAGUGAAAUUGUUAUGACCACCCAGCCCAGAAGAAUUGAUGCUUUUGAACUGUGGUGUUGGAGAAGACUUUUGAGAGUCCCUUGGGCUGCAAGGAGAUCAAACCAGUCCAUCCUAAAGAAAAUCAGUCCUGAAUACUCAUUGGAAGGACUGAUGCUGAAGUUGAAGCUCCAGUACUUUGACCACCUGAUGCAAAGAGCCGACUCAUUGGUAAAGACUUUGAUGCUGGGAAACAUUGAGGGUAGGAGGAGUAGGGGGCAGAAGAAGAUGAGAUAGCUGGAUGGCAUCACUGACUCAAUAGACAUGAGUUUGGGCAAACUCUGGGAGAUGGUGAAGAAUAGGGAAGCCUGGCAUGCUGCAGUUCAUGGGGUAGCAAAGAGUCAGAUAUGACUGAGCCACUGAACAACAACAACAACCCCAACCGAGACUUAUUCCUAACUGAUCUCUGGACUGUACAAAUGGUUGUCCUUCCAUUGAGGAGGUGGGGACAGGCAAUAUUUGAUGCUUAAAUACACUAAUAAGCUCUGAAAAACAUAAACACCUUUAAGAAAAUACACUGGGGUUAUGAGAGGAGAGAGUGCUGGGGGAAAGCAGAGUGAUGGCUAAUUGAGAAAGAUAGUCAGGGACAUGUUUGAAUAUUCUUCCUAGUGGAGGCGUGGAAGGGAGGUCUGUGUUUGUCACUGGAAAGCCCCUCAUCUGGCCUCUGCCAACCUGUUCUUCCUGGGCAGCUGGGGACCCUGGGAGUGCUUAGGAGUUUUCUGUUUUCUGACUGUGGCCGUGAUGACGAGACCUGGUAUCCCAGGUGUCAAGGCAGUGUCUCAGAGCAGUUGUUUUUUUUUUAAUUUAUUUGGCUGCAGUGGGUCUUAGUUGUGGCACAUGGGAUCUAGUACCCUGACAAGGAAUUGAACCGGGCCCCUGUAUUGGGAUCUUAGCCAAUGGACCACCAGAGAAUUGCCAAUAAUACUAAUUUAAAAAAAACCCUGGAUACUCACAACUGUGGUCUGAAUGUUUGUGUCUCCACCCCCUCACUCUGUAUUGAAAUUCUAACCACCACGGUGAUAAUAUUAGGAGGUACAGCCUUUGGAAGGGAAUGAGGUCAUGAGGGUGGGUCUCUUGUGAAUGGGAUUAGUGCCCUUAUAAAGAUACCCAAGACUCCCUGAUAUACACUAUUAUAAGGGGCAAAUGUGGGCAAGAGAUAGUUUGGAGUUAUCCACAGCCUUGGUUGCUAAAUGCAGCCUAUUGCCUGUUCCUGUACAGCCAGUGAGUUAAGAAUGGCCUUUUCAUUUUCAAAUGGCUGGAAAAAACAAUUCACAAUUUGAAAAUGAUCUACAAUUCAAAUUUCAGUGACCAAGGAGCUGGGGGGGAUAGAACAGACUUUGCUGAAGGGUAUAAACUUGGACUGAGUAGUAAAUAAAUCCUAGAAUUCCACAGAUGCACAGAAGAGUAAAUACAAGUUAAAAUGUUGUAUUAUAAUCAUCAGACUUGCUAAGAGACUAGCAACUUAACUAUUUCCACCACUAAAAAGAAAUGUUGAUUAUAUAACAUCUGGGCUUCCCUGGUGGCUCGGACGUUAAAGAAUCUGUCUGCAAUGCAGGAAACCCAGGUUUGAUCCCUGGAUUGGGAAGAUCCCCUGAAAAUGGGAAUGGCUAGCCACUCCAUUAUUCUUGCCUGGAGAAUUCCAAGGACAGAGGAGCCUAGUGGGCUACAGUCCAUGGGAUCACAAAGAGUUGGACAUGACUGAGAGACCAACACUUUCACAGAGGUGCUAAUUAUGGAUACAAUCGCAACCAUAUUACAAUAUAUGUCAGUUAUACUAUAUAAAUGUAUCAAAUGUUGGACACCUUAAAUUUAUACAAUGUUACAUGUCAAAUAUAUUUCAAUUAAAAAGUCCAUGGGACUUUCUUGGUGGUCCAUUUGCUAAGACUCUGUGCUCCCACGGCAGGGGGCCUGAGUUCAAUCCCUGGUCAGGGAACUAGGUCCCACAUGCCCCAACUAAGAGUUUAUAUGCUGUAACUAAGAGUUUGGAUGUAGCCACUAAAAAUACUGCAUACCACAACUAAAAGAGCCUUCAUGCUGCAAUGGAGAUGGAAAGCCCAGGUGCUGCAACUGAGACCUGGCACAGUCAAAUAAAUAAAAAAUAAAACAAUUAUCUGAAAAGUCAGAGUCCAUAAAUAAAGUUGUUUUUAAAAUUUAAUUUAUGUUUUGGCUUUGGUAGGCCUUCAUUGCUGUGCAUGGGCUUUCUCUAGUUGCAGCGAGCAGGGGCAUUGUGGUGGCUUCUCUCAUUAUAGAGCACAGGUUCUAGGUACCUCGGCUUCAUAGUUGUGGAGCUUGGGCUUAGUCGUUCAGUGGCUCGCGGCAGGGAUCGAACUGGCAGAGUCUUAAUCACUGGGCCACCACGGAAGUCCCAUAAAUAAAGUUUUAUUGACACACAGUUGUGCUCAUUUGUUUACCUAUUAUCCCGGGCUGCUUUUAUGCUACAAAGCAGAAUUGAGUCAUUGCAACAGAGACAGCCUGGCCCUUGAAGCAGAAAAUAUUUCCAGUCCAGCCCUUUCCAGAUCUUUGUAGACCCCUGCUCUAAAGGAGCCUGAGGUCUGAAUGUCAGCUGAUGCUGACUUGGGGCUUUUGGGGGUGUCUACUGGUUGGCACAGCAAAGAGGUCAGAAGGAGUCGGUGUUGGAGGGGCAUGGGGACGCGCAGAAGGUUCUGAUGAUUAACACUAGGGAGAGGGUGAUGGGGAUACCCCCCGGGGAGGGGACGUUCGUGUCUUCAAGGUGAUAUGGGGUUGAGCGCUGAGACUGGCAGGCUGAUGGAGGCACAGCAGGGUCACAGACAGGAAGCCUAGAUCUGCCUCGAGUAAUCCCCACCCCUGGCCACCCACCAGAGCUGACAGAUGAGACAGAAGCAUCCCAUGAACCACCACCACCCUGUCAUCUAACCAGUCAUGGGACCCUACCUCCUGUUUCUCCCUUUCCUCUGCUUUUCCCUGUCCCUCCCUGGUGCCAUCAUCUGUCACUGUCUGGGUCUGGAGAUGUGCCCCAACUUCAUACCUCAGUGUCCCUGACCCCUCAUCUCUUUUCUCAGUGUAGCCUGCACACUUAACUUUCCUAUCUUUCUUUCUUUUUUCUUCUUUCCUUUUAAAAAAAAUGGAGACAAAAUAUAUGAACAUAAAGUUAACCAUUUUAAAGUGUACAAGGCCCUGGCAUUUAGGAGAAACACAAGGUUGGGCAACCGUCACCAACUACCCAUCUGCAGGAAGCUUCCGUCACACCAAGAAACCCUGUACCUGUGAGCUGUCGCUCCCACCCCCUUCCUUUAGUCUCUGGCAACCAGUAAUCUGUUUUCUGUCUCUGUGGGUUUCCCUCUUCUGGACAUUUCAUAUCAAUGGAAUCGUACACCAGGUAGUCUUUCAUUAGCUUGGUGGGGUUUUUGUUUGUUUAUUUUGUUUUUGGCCAUGCUCAUGUCUUGUGGGAUCUUAGUUCUAUGAUCAAGGAUCGAACCCAGGCCCUCGGCAAUGAACAUGUGCAGAGUCCUAACAACUGGAACACCAGGGAAUUCCUGUUAGCUUGUUUUUGAAACUCAUUCACUUUGUAGCAGGUAUCUAAAGCUCAAUCCUUUUCUGAAUGAAUACUCCAUUGCAUGGAUGUACCACAAUUUUUUAAAUCCAUUCAUUUGUGGAGGGGCAUGUGGGUUACUUCCACCUUAACUUAUGACAUAAAUAUACCUAAAUUAAAUUUUUCCUUUUUAAACUUUUAUAAGUUGUGGUAAGAUAUGUAUAAGAUUUAUCAUUUUUAAACCAUUUUUAAGUGAAAGUUCAUGGCUUUACAUACAUUUACACUGUCACCCAACCAUCACCAUCAUCCAGCUCCUAAACUUUUUCAUCAUUCCAAACUGAAACUGUCCCUGGGAACUCCCUGGUGGUUAGGACUCUGAGCUUUCUGUGCAGGAGGCAUGAUCCCGGGUCUAGGAACCGAGAUCCCACAAGCCAUGCAGCAUAGCCAAAACACAAUGAAACAACUCUGUCCUCAUUAAGCAAUGACUGCUCAUUCCCCUCACCCCAAUCCCUGGUAAUCACUGUCCUUUCUGUCUCGAAGUCAGUGAGCUUGCACAAAUUGAAGUCUGAGCAUGCCGGCUCUCCUGAACCCUCAGUAGGCCCCUACUGUUCUCAGGAUAGAGACCAAAUAGUCCCAAGGGGGAUGCACAUGGCAUCUUGAUCUCAAUUUCCUCCUUCUCCAAGCUUAUUUAGGGCCUUCCCAGUGGCUCAGUGGUAAAGAAUCCACCUGCCAAGCAAGAGACUCAGGUUCAAUCCCUGUGUCUGGAAGAUUCCUUGGAGGAGGAAAUGGCAACCCACUCCAGUAUUCUUGCCUGGGAAAUCCCAUGGACAGAGGGGCCUGGUGGGCUACAGCCUAUGCGUUGCAAAGAGUCUGACUCGACUUAUGGACUAAACAACAUCAACAGCAGAGCUUCUUUCCCUGUAUAAAAAGUCCCCACUCUUCCCUCUUCUUCUAUGGGAUCCUUGUGUGCACGUUCCUUUCCCCUCCUGAGGAAGGUCCACCUCUCUACAGUGCUCCCCGCUGUUCCCUCAUAGGACACAUCUCAGCUGUAAUUCAUUCUUUCCCUGCCUUUUCUUUUUGGUUUGUUAGUGUAGGUUUGUUGAUGUGCCCUCUGCCUCCUCCAUCUGACUGGGAGUCCAUGAGGGUGUGACAGCGCCUGUCUUACUGCUGUGCGUUCCCAGCUCCUGACCUUUGCCUGGCACCCUGCCCUAUGUAUAGUGGAAAGUGUGUGUUAGUCAGUCGUGUCCAACUCUUUGCGACCCCAUAGACUGUAGCCCGCCAGGCUCCUCUGUCAAUGGGAUUCUUUAGGCAAGAAUAAUGGAGUGGGUUGCAUGCCCUCCUCCAGGGGAUCUUCCCCACCCAGGUGUUGAACCCAGAUCUCCUGCACUGCAGGCAGAUUCUUUACCAUGUGAGCCACCUGGCAAGCCUGUCUAUGUAUAGUGAAAGGAUCAGCACAAAGUCCUGGCAAGGAAGGGAGAGAUGGGCCAAGGUAGGUGGUGGACAUCUUGAGCUCCUAGUGGUGUGGGGAGCUUAGGCUGCAGCUGGGGUGGGCUGCAUGAGCAGAGAGCCCAGGGGUUGGGAGCAGGGGCGGCUGGUUGGGGGCUGCAGUUACCCCGGAGCAAGGGUCUCUGGAAGUUGAGCAGUGGGCAUGAAGAGCUGGACCAGGGGGCAGAAGUGAGGACCGGAAGCGUGAUUGGGAGGAGGUGGGGCUGACGGGGCACAUAGAUGAUGCUGUUGACAGGUGGUCAUUUCUGAAUGCACUGUUCAGAGCCUGGGGAGGCCAGGCUGGGCCCGGCAGCCAGAGGUCCGCAGUGUCGAGGUGCCUCCUCACCCCCACACUGAGAGGUAAGCUCCUGGGGCAGGCUUGACUUGCUUCAACUGGGAGCAUCUGCAUAAAUUACAAUGGCCAGUGCCCAGUUCUGGCCCAGGAGAGAGACCUUUAUAAAGUCAGACUUGGCUUCCCCCCAACUGGCUGGCCUCCUUAUCCCUGAUUCCAAAUGCUGGCUUGUCACAAUGCGUCUGCACACAAGCACGAGCCUGCAUCUCUAAGGGUGGUGGUUGGGGAGAGCGGGAUGCUUGCUGCACUAGGGGCAGCCUGGGGGUGGUAGCUUUUAGCAAGCUGGUGGCCAUUCCCCACCCUUCCAUCCGCCCCAUGGUUCUUUUUAUAUCCUGCAUUUUCAUAAAGCCAAAACAUCUGAGGCUGGGUUUCGUGGCAGUGGGCUGUUAGAGGCUGCAAGGGGAGCGAGGAGAAGGCAGAGAGGUGGGGUUAUCAGAGCCCAGCCUCUCCAGGCCUGUGGCUGGGCCAGGGGUGGCCUCUGGCUUCCUUCCAUCAGCCCACAGUCUCAGAUGGUUCAGAGCUCUAUUUAAAGGCUGCUUUCUCUGCCUCCACUGUGGGGUUCCCACCAGGAUUCAUGAGUCAGAGGGAAGGCUGGUGUGGCCCCCAAUGCUUGGCUGGGUCCACCCUGAGAAGCUGGGAGCAAACUCUUCAGGAAGUAAUUCUGUAGCAGCCCCAGCUGCUUGGCCCCUACUGUUCUGAUAUCUCCUUGCUCAGGUCUCCCUCCCAACCCCUACCCCAGCUCUGUGCCACGUGAGAAGCCCAAUGAAUGACCGCCUGAUUGCGGGGUACCCACAGGCAGCUGAAGGCCAGUGAUGCUCCCUGGGCUUGUUCAGUGGCCUCUAUAGCCAUAUAGGGCUUCCCAGGUGGUGCUAGUGGUAAAGAACUCGCCUGCCAGUGCAGGACAUAUAAGAGACUAGAGUUCAGUCCCUGAGUCGGGAAGAUCCCCUGGAGGAAGGCACGGCAACCCACUCCAGUAUUCUUGCCUGGAGAAUCCCAUGGACAGAGGGGCCUGGCGGGCUACAGUCCAUGGGGUCACAAAGAGUCAGAUAUGAUUAAGUGACUUAGCAUACAUGUAGCUGCAUAAUACCUGCAGAAUUCCAGAGGCAUCCACAUCUUCCUGAGGAUGUGCGGUAAUCUUUUCUUGCUUUUACAGCAUCACCAUGUGCUGCCCUGGUUGGGACCAUAUGCACAUGUGGUGCCGGGCAGCUCCCAGGGGCCUGCACACACUGUUCUUACCACACUCCUAUUUUAUUGAUCAGAAGGCUGAGUCCAGGGUGGGAAAUGUAUCUUUAGGUUGUUAUAACAGAAUACCAUAGACUGAAAGGCUUAUAAACACCAGACACUUAUUCCUCACAUUGUGGAGGCUGGAUUGUCCAAGAUCAAGGUGCCAGCAGGUCUGGUAUCCAGUGAGGGCUGUGUGGCUCACCGAGUCAUGGUGUCUUUUCACUGAGUCCUCACAUGGGAGAAAAGACAAGCCAGUGCUCUGGUGUUCCUUUUUUUAAAAGGUAUGAAAAAAAUUAUUUAUUUAGACACAUCUUGAGGCUUGUGGGAUCUAAGUUCCUGGACCAGGGAUUGAACUUGGGCCCUUGGCAGUGAGAUCUCAGAGUCUUAACCACCAGGAUUCCUUUUAUAAGGGCACUAAUACCAUUCACAUGGGCUUCCCUUGUGACUCAGUGGUAAAGAAUCCGCCUGCCAACGCAGGAGACAUGAGUUCGAUCCCUGGGUGGAGAAGAUUCCCUGGAGGAGGAAAUGGCAACCCAUUCCAGUAUUUUUGCCUGAAGAAUCCCAUGGAUGGAGAAGCCUGGAGGGCUACAGUCUAUGGGGUUGCAAAGAGUUGGACACGACUGAUCAACUAAACCACAGCAACAAUACCAUUCACGAGGACUCCACCCUCAUGACCCGAUCACCCCAAAAGCCUCACCUCCUAAUACCAUCACACUGAAGGUUAUGGCUUCAGCAUGUGAAUUUUGUGGGGCACAAAUGUCCAGAUCAUAGCAGGAUGCAUAUGUGUGUGUGGCAGAGCAGGGAUUGUCCAACCUGACUGGGUAGGUGUCACCCUCUUACCCCAGUGCUGAGGCCCACAGAUGAGUGGGGUCUUGCAUCUGGACACUAGUGGGCAGUAAUAGGGGUGACCCCCAGGGACAACAGAGCUCGAGAAUGACGCCAGGUGUGUGAGGUCGACCAGUGCUGUCUAGGACAGUUGUCAUGAGCCACACAGGGCUAUUGGGUGCUUAAAAGGUGCUGAUCUGAAUGGAGAUGUGAUCUGAGUGAAAAGCAUCCCCUGGGUUUCAAAAACUCAGUAUAAAAAAUGAUCAUGAAAGAUUACUAUGAGAAUCAUAUCUAUCACAUGUUGAAAUGAUUGUAUUUUGGCUAUGUUGCACUAGGAAAUAAAUAUAUCUUUCAAAAUAAUCUCCCGUUAGGACUUCCCUGGUGUUCCAGUGGUUAAGAUUCUGUGCUUCCAAUGCAGGGGGCCUGGGUUUGAUCCUGGGUCAGGGAACCAGGUCUCCCCUGCUGCAACUAAAGAUCCCACAUGCCCCAAUGAAGAUCAAAGAUCCCGAAUGCUGCAACUGAGACCUAACACAGCCAAACAAACAAAUAAAUAUUAAAAAAACUUCCUUUCCUCAAAAAGCUAAACAUAGAGUUUUCAUAAGACCCAGAAAUUCCACCCCUGUAUCUAUCCCAAAGAAUUGAAAACAGGUGUAAAAACAAAAACUUGUAUGUGCAAGUGUAGCGUAGCACCAUUGACAGUCAUCAAAAGGUAGAAACAAGCCACAUGUCCAGCAACACAGUGGAAUAGUAUCCAGCCAUGAAAAGGAAUGGGGUUGUGACUCAUGCUACAACCUGGAUGAACCUUGAAAACAUGCUGAGUGAAAGAAGAUGGGCUAAGUCACCUAUUGUGUGAUCCCGUUUAUAUGAAAUAUCCAGAAGAGGCAAGUCCACAGAAACUGAAAGUAGAUUCGUGGUGACCAGGGGCUGAGAGAGGGAGAAAUGGAGAAUGGCUCUUAGUGGGGAUGGGGUUUAUCUUGGAGUGAUGAUAAAAUAUUUUGAAAUUAUCUUGAGGUGGUAGUUGCCCAGCCUUCCCAGGUGGUGUUCGUGGUAAAGAACCUGCCUGCCUGCACUGCAGGAGCUGCAGGAGACCUGGGUUUGAUCCCUGGGUUGGGAAGAUCCCUGGAGGAGGGCAUGGCAACCCACUCCAGUAUUCUUGCCUGGGAAAUCCCAUGGACAGAGGAGCCUGGAGGGCUGCAGUCCAUGGGGUCACAAAGAGUCGGACACGACUGAAGCGACUAAGCACGCAUGCACGGUAGUUGUACGACAUUGUGAAGGUACUAAAUGAAUUGUACACCACAAAUGGUUAAUUUUAUGUUAUGUGAAUUUCACCACAAUUAAAAAAAAAUACAACAAAACUAAAAAACACUUGUUCUUUUUUUUUACUUUCUUUAAUGUGGCAACUAGAAAACACAAAUGUGACUCACUUCAAGUUGCCCUGGGUCGUGGCUGGGCUAGAUCACUGUGCCUCCAGGGGAGUCAAAUAACACCUGUAUCCUCUGCAUGGCAGGUGAAAAAUCCCUGGACCACUGCUGACCCAGAGCAGGGCAGGAAGGAGCUGCAGCCCUGGGGGCUGAGGAGGAGCGGAGGGGAGCUAUGGCUGUCCCUCACUGUCCACCAGGGGAGUUGUGAUACAUCUUUCAGAUAGUGAGGGAACAUGAGCUUGCUGGCUGGCCAGAGGAUUGGAGAUAAUACUUCAGUGCAGUACUUUGAACCACCUUGAACUUUUGACCAUCUGACGUCCCCAAGACCUGCAGACUGUUCCUGUCGAUUGGUGGUUUGCACCCGCAGCAGUCCUGGUGCUAUUAUUACAGAGGGAGCGCAGCCCACCCUGAGUUAGUAGUCCCUCAGCCUCCUCUACCCGAGGCAGCCUGAAGGCUUGGGGGCUGGAGCAAGACCUCUCGGAACCCUCAGUUGCUAUGGUAAUAACAGCCAUAGUAAAAAAUCACUUACUAUGGGCCAGGUACCCUUUGUUCUGAGAACAGCAGUUCUCAAAGGGGUUCAGAAACUUGGGGGCCACUGAGACCCUUCCAGGGGGGUCCAUCAGACUGAACUGUUUCAUUUUUUUAAAUAAAUAUUUGAUACUACUUUAAAACAUUAUUUUUAGCCUGUGGGAAUCUUUGUUCCUUGACCAGGGAUAGAAGCCAUACCCCCUGCAUCGGAAGUAGAGCAUCUUAACCACUGGACCACUGGGGAAGUCCCUGAACUAUUUAAAAAUAUUUUUUCUUUGAACUAUUUUUAAUAUUAAUGUUAAGAUGUCCUUUGCCUCUGUCACUUUUUUUCUCUCACAUGUGUGUGGUGGAGUUUCCAGGGGAGAGUCCCUGUUGCAACAGGUGGGAUGCAGAAUCAGAUGUGAGAAUCCAGUUGUCUUCUGUUCACUGGACAUGGAAGAGAUGCAAAAUUGGAAAACAAUGUCUCUCUUUUUAUGGAAUAUUUUUGUUUUGGAAAAGGUGG